AAGCUAUCGACUCUGUUGAAGAAUGGGCUGGGAAAUGGGGAUUCAGGUUCUCUGUUGAGAAAACUAAGGUAGUAUUCUUCUCAUUUAAAAAAAUUGAAGAAAGUUUUAAAUUCCAGUUGUAUGGUAGAGAUUUAAAAAGAGUAAAUUGUAUGAGAUUUUUAGGUAUGCAUUUUGAUUCUAAGCUUACAUGGCAUAAUCAUAUUGAAAAUAUUGUUGACAAAUGUAAAAAAGUCAUUAACAUAAUUAGGUGCUUGUGCAAUAAGGAGUGGGGAGCAGAUAUGACUUCAAUGAAAAGAUUAUAUGUUGGAUUAAUUAGGUCUAUUGUUGACUACGGGUGCAUGGCUUAUGGGUCUGCUGCAAAGUCUGAAUUAAAGAAGCUUGAUGUUAUUCAGGGUUUGGCCCUUAGGAUAUGUUCAGGAGUAAUGAGAACCUCCCCUAUAUCAGCGCUUCAGGUUGAAGUAGGUGAAAUGCCAUUUGAGUUGAGGCGACUGCAAAUGUCAUUGUCGUAUUAUGUUCAAUUAAAAGGACAUAUUGAAGACCAUCCCACUAAAAGUGUCCUCAUCUUAACAUGGGAGCAGGAAAAAAGUAAAAGAGAGUCGUUUAGUGCAAGUAUUCAUGAAAAGGUAAAGCAAGCAGCUUUAGAAAAUUAUGAAUUUAGUCCAUCUGUAGUCUAUUCACCGCACCCACCGUGGAUGCUACUGGUACCGGACACUGAUGUAACCUUGCAUGAAAAGUUAAAAAAUUAUAAGGGAUAUAGAGGACAAAUGGCUAUGAGGUAUGUAGAUAACUAUUAUGGGUACGUGCAAAUCUUUACUGAUGGAUCAAAACAACCAGAUACAGGGAAAGUGGCAAUCGCAUAUGUGAUACCAGAGUUUGAUAUUAAGUUUUCUGCAAGAGUUUCGUAUCACCUAUCAGUGUACACAGCAGAGCUAAUAGCAAUUGUAAUGGCGUUGCAGUGGGUAGAGCAAAUGAAACCACUAAGAGUAGUUGUAUGUUCAGAUUCGUUGUCAGCCUUAGAAAAUUUUAAAUCAGGUAACUCAAAUGAAAGGUAUGAUAUUGUGUGUGAGAUAUUGACUUUGAUUCAUAGUAUUCAAAAUGGGGGGACGCAUGUAAAGUUUGUGUGGGUUCCGGCUCAUGUAGGUAUGGUUGGUAAUGAGUUGGCAGACAAGUUUGCUAAACAGGCUUUGAAAGCAACAAAUGUGUCUAUUCAGUGUAAAAUAUCAAAGGCAGAGGCUAAGUCAAUGAUUAAAAAACAUGUUAAAAAGUUAUGGCAAGAUAAAUGGGAUAGGGGAGAUAAAGGGAGGGGCUUUUACAGUGUAAACCCUGAGGUUGGUCAGGGCCGUUUGAUAAGAAGAUGUCGAAGAGAAGAGGCAAUUUUUACAAGAAUGAGAAUAGGACACACUGGACUGAACAAAAAAUUGCAGAUGAUAGGAAAGCAUAAUUCAGGAAAUUGUGGGAGCUGUAAUGUGCCAGAAACAGUGGAACAUGUCUUUAUGAUUUGUAGGAAAUUUAAUAGAGAAAGGUCUUUAAUUAAAAGGAAAAUAGAGGAUAGUGGGGAAAGUUUUAACUUUAGAAAUAUUUUGUCUAAGGCUUCCGAUCAUAAAGUAAUAAAGUAUAUGUUUGAAUUUUUAAAGAACACCGGACUCAUUGAUAGAAUAUAGGGAAGUUAUUUAUUUGAAAGGAAAUUUAGACAGAUGGAUUACUAUAAGUUUUUUUUUUUUUUUUUUUUUUUUUUUUAUGUGGCUUGCAGGCUACAUUAUUUUCAAAGAUAUAAACCAUAGUGGUGAUUAGGCACAAUUUAACUGGAGGGUGGCGGUAGUGCGCUAAGUUAGUCCGCAUCCGCCGUUAAACAACCAAAGAAGAAGAAGAAGAAGAAGAAGAAGAAGAAGAAGAAGAAGAAGUCGUCGUCGUCGUCGACCUUGAGCACCACCGGCAAAGACUUUCUCCAGAUUCUCAGGCAGUGUGUUCUGUCGGGGUUAGGGCAUAGAAAGUACAGUUUGAACAAUAUAAAAACCAUUACGCCACUGGAGAGUCCCCCGCAAACCAACAUAUACAAGUGU